rnacentral:lncRNA from 1 species
AAACGUACGCAAGAGAAUCGAUUACUUUGAUACUGUUAUAUGCACUAGCAUCUAUAAAGCUAGAGGCUGCCAUUGACAAUUUCCUUCUUCUCUGCACGCAGAAGAAAAGCCUACUGACCGGAAUAAAUACUCUGGAUCAAGUAGUGCUCAGGAAUCACAGUUCCGAAAGGAAAUAAUAAAGAAAAAGAUUGUCUGAACAGUGGCCAAACAUGUAGAGAACCUCUUGUGGAAAGUUCAGUUCAUCGGUUCACUGCACCGGUAUGAACAACUUCCCUGUUUUUGGCUUUGCUCUUCUGGCCCGCUUCCCGGCUCACAUGCCUUAAUCGGUGACAACUUCAUUUCCAUCUCCACUUUGGCAAAGCAAGCAUAGAUUGCAUAACAAGAUGCAACAGCAGCAAGAGAAGGAAGAGCAGGUUCACCUAUAAACAGUAAAAGAUAAACUUUAGGAUGUAAUACUCUGGAUCAAGUAGUGCUAAGGGAGCAUGCUCUCUUGCCCCUGGCUUAGAAAUCUCCUAUUUACAUAGGAUGUAAAUAAUACUGAAACUUAAGCAGGAUAAAGGAAUCGUUUCUUGUUGGAUAAACUGCACAUUUGGUGGGAUUUGCAUCGGAGUGUUACCUGGAGAUUCGGAUUCAGUGACUACCAUGAUGUGUAGUUAUUUCCUUUUGUGUUCAAACGUACGCAAGAUCGAUUACUUUGAUGCUGUUAUACUAAGAAGACUAGGCCCGUAAGGGUUCAAUUUUUCUGGUUUUUUCGGAUUUUUUUUUACCUCUGCCGAUUGAGCGACAUGUGUGUACGGUGGCUUUCAUGAAGUGGUUGAUCGCUCUCCUGGUUGCUCUCUUGGACUGUGCAUGUUUCUUCUAGAGGUGCAUGGGCUUAUCUUGUCUCAUAUGGAAAGAUGGUUUGACUGCAUGGGCUCAUUUUGUCUCAUGUGUGAAAAAUAUAUUAGCUGCAUGGACUGUUGUAUGGGCUGGUAUACGUGUGCUGCUGCAUGGCUCAUGCAUGCAUGCAUGUGUCCAACUUUGCAUGUUUGGGGUUCCACGUUUGCACACGUUUGUGUUCUGGGUCCUUCUUUGCUUGCCUAUAAGUAGCUCAUUGCUUUGUUCUUCUCUCAUGUAUCAAACCACUCCUCACCUAUAGGCCCAUCUCUCCUCCUGAUGCUGCCCUCCAGCCUCCACCCAAGAUCCGCCUGGUCGCCGCUCCGUCUAGCCAGCCGGGAGGUGCGUGCAGGCUACACCAUGAAUCAGGAGAGCCGCGUGCCAUCGUCUCCUUAUGGAUCUUCCUCGGCUCCGGCUCUGUCCCUAGCCUCCAAGGCCGGAUACAUGGUGGUCGCCUUCCCGUGGUCCAAGGUGGCAGGCCUGCAGUUGGCGCUGGAUAGCUCGCUGCCCUGCUGCUCUCCAUCCUAAUCGACUCCCCUCGGUCUUCCCCAACUUCGGCCCCGACAACAGGCCCCCUUCAUCUGCCUUUCCUCUCCUCUAGGGUGCGUGGUUUCCUUGUACGAGUAGAUGAGUUAUUUGUACUAGAAUUUCAUCAGAUCUAAAGUUGGGUGCAUAUGCUACAAAUUGUUAAUCUAAGAAAAUAUUCAGGCACUACGUGAAUGUCUGUGCUAAGGACACAAAUUUGGGGAUCCUUGCGUGAAUGUGCAAGGAAUUCAGAAUCUACAUCUUUAAUAUGACAUGGUAUUUUUGUUCUUAAUCUCUCCAUUACGUUGUGUUCCAUUUUUCUCAAUGGAAGUAAUUGUGGUUUAAUUUCACAUGAUUUUUAAACAAAUAAACACAUGAUGUGCUGAAUAGCUGACAUACAGAGAAAAUGGUACAGCUUGAUGACUAUUGUAGUACUAAAUUAUUCUCAGGUAUUUAUUGUUCAUUUUGUGAUAGUUUUCUCUCUCCUAAAAGUAAAACGAAUCAUUUUUAAUUCUUUGAACAAGUUUGCCUAAAGUAGGGCGCUCAGCCAUUGAGGCAUUAUCAAUUUCUUUUAGAAGCUUCGCAAAAUCUGCUCUUGUACUAAAGAAAUCUAAUGUAGAUUUGUUAGCCUCAUAGGGUACUAUAUGCUGAACACAUGAUAUUAAACAUAGAGUAAAUUGCACUAUGAAGUGAGUAUGUAUGUAGUAUCCACACAGGAUUGCCAUUUUUGGAGCUAUUGCUGGGAUCAUCAUGGAUUGGGAUGCAUUCUGAUAAUAAGAUAUUAGGUAUUGAUAUGUGAUAUGUAUGCCACACUUGACUUCAUCAUCCUUUGUUUUCAGAUGUAUUCUUUAGGCACACAUUAAUGUGGUAGCUUGGUCAUAUUCUGUACCUAAUUUAGUCACCACAAUACUCGGGUUUUUUCCCCGAAUCUCACUAUAAAGAACUUCCACUUGCCAUCUCUAUAUGGAUUUUCUUUUUGCUACUGAUUUUGGCUAAAGGUUUUUCUGCUCUCAUCUCUAUAUGGAUAUGCUUUUUUUCAGGUUAGUAGUUUAGGAGUUCCUGCCAACACUGGUUUUUGGAAGUUAUACUCACUUCACCAGUUGGGCUUAACAAGGACAUAAUUAAUUCUCUGUUGGUAAUUAGAAGGAAAAAAAAUCUGGUUGGAGAAAACAUCUCUUUUGCUUAAUUGUUUGCUUCAUAAUUUUAGUAAUAUUUUUUUUCAUUUUUUUAGGUUAGUAGUAUGGGAGUACCUGUCAUGAAUAACUUUUGGAAGUUAUGCUAGCCUCAUCAGUUGGGUUUCUAUACCAAACUAGACUCAAUAUAAUUUAUGUUGGUGCUUGCGAUGAGUAUUACAGAGGGGUGAUGACCACAUAGUUCACCCAGUGUAUCUGUUCAUGUAUGUUAUUAAUUAUCUAAUUAGACAAACAAAAACUCUGUCUGUAUGGUGUUUGCGAUGAUGCUAUCAAUUCACUGAACACUAAAAUACAAGGUUGUGAUUUUCAAAUCUAGCAAAUAAAUUUUCUCCAAUGCUUCUUUUCCAGGCAGAAGUUUUAGUCUAUUCUAUGCCAUGAGUCUUACUGUCAAAAAAAUACUAUAUGGUAGCAUCAGAAGUUGUCUCCAUCAGAUAGAACACUGCCUAAUAGCUAGAUUCAUUUUAUUACUGUAUAGCCAUGGUGACAAAAAAAUUCAGAUAACAAGAAACAAUUCUGUCAAAUAUUCUCAGCGGAGAUACUGUUGCGGUCUAUAAGAAAAAAAAUGUUAAUUAUUUAUUAAACAGAAAACUAUGUUAUGCAUACCAACAGAUGCUAAACAAUCAGACUACCUGACAGAAAAGUAUAUAUACAUUAGUUAAAUUUCAUUCCAAAAAUAGAUGAUGUAUUGGUAGAUGUUAAUCAUACAAGAACACGAGGAUGACAAACAUAAAUUAAUCAUAUAUAUUAUCAUCACAGGUCGAUCUAACUGGUGGUAGUUUUUCUUUGCAAUGAAAACAAAUUUGAAUCAAAUGAUUCAAACAACCAAAAAGAAGGAAACAAAGGAUGCUUAUGGAUCUGAAUGGGUUAGGACGCUCCACUACUUGCAAGUAAUACAUAUAGAUCCAGCGACUCAGUGGCAGAGCUACUCUCGACAACACCGCACUGGCUCUACCCGGAGUCAUCACGGAAAUUACAACAAGAAAUGUGAAGUAAUUAGUACUCCCACCGUUUGUUUUUAUAAGAAGUUUCAGACAGCUUGCUUUGUAUUCUUUUAAACAGUGUCUGAAUGUCUAAAACAUCUUAUAAAAAGGAACAGAGAUAGUAUUUUUUUUCCAUGGGCAUAUGACCGCCGGCCAGUUGCCUUUGUGCUCAUGCCGGUGUUGUACCAGUAAAUUGACUCCAUCACUGCAGCGACCUGAAAGAACAUCAACUGUUUGUGGAGUUGGGAAUUUCUUCUCCGAGGAGAGAAAUGUUUAGUAUGUCUCUAAAUCACUCAACUGUCCUCCCGGACAAAGAUGAGUUUAAUAUGGUCCGUCGAUACAGAGAAGGCCUGCUAUCACAUACCGCUUAUUGGGUUGUGUAACAUUUAAUCUCAUUCCAACUCCACAUAUCCAACAAAGAAGCUUAUACCAAAAAAAAAAGAGCGGUUUUUUGUAGCACGAGCUACACGGUACCCCUAUCAAAACCGCCGUGUUUUGAAAUUAGCAGUGUAGCAGUGCUUUUGUCCACAGGCCCGUCAUAUCCAUUGCUAGCUUUUGUCCACAGGCGUCUGGAUGCAUGCUUUUGUCCACAGGCCCGUCAUAUCCAUUGCCAGCGUGAGGCCCUAGUUAGCUUUUUCAGAGACUGCAAUGUCACUGUACUCACGCGGCUACUGCUUCCCUUCUCAGCAUGCGCCUGCAACGAGUAGCGCCCGGCUGCGUCCUCGAGUCGUGUAGCACCUUGGGUGGCGGCAGGGUAAUGCGCAUGUCAGAGGAGGCUGAGCGGUGCCAUUUUUUUAUCUGUUUUUUUUAUGUUUACAAGAUAAAUGUGUACAAUCUCUAAAAAUCUCAACUCGAAACUCGAAGUGCACACAGAGAUAAAAAAGACGAAAUUACUCUACGGACGACAGAUACCAACCGAACUGUGGACGACGGGAGGAUUCAACGGCGAUGUUCACUUUUGGACUAUGCAUGGAUGGCCGGAUGCCCUUUAUCGUCUGCAAAUCGUCCAGAGUGUGUCGUUUGUGUAGCACAGCUCUAAAAAAGAAGAUAAUUCGAACAUGAAUAAUGUCACAAGAAGACAAAAGCAAAAAUGAUACUAUUUCACAUAUGAAUUUGUCUUUUUUAUCUACAUGACUGGAGUAAAUUGCAGAAAACCACCACUUUGAAGGCAAGCUUUGCGAAAACCAUUACAAUACAUUUUUUUUUGCAAAAAACACCGUGUCUACGGUAAUCUUUUUGCAGAAAGCACUGAUCGGCGGAUUGGAGCGUUUUAAGUAUGUUUAUGACAAGUGGGUCCAGAUUUUGCCGACGUGGCGUAACGGCUCUGUCAAAACAGCGUUAGAUGGGGGAUUUUACAAGGAGGCCCUUACGUCAAAAUAAAAAAAGCAAUCAACUCCAUGGACGAGCUCUUCUUCGCCAGCGGCGUGGCCGCGCCGGCGAUGCAGCCCCAACGACGCGGGCAGAGAUGACCCCCUACGGGGUCUGGACGAACUGGAGGGAGGCGAGGCGGUUCCUGACGGGUUCGGCUGCUGUCACCGCCGGCGAGGACUGCCUGAGCUGGGGAGGACCAGCGGGCUCAGGCACACCACAAACCUCGAGAUCCCGUCGCCGUUGGCGCCUGCUGGUGAUGGUGCCUGGCCGGGGAGGGCGACGAGAACCACCAGCUGCUGCUCGUGCUGCCUCCUGGGGACUCGGGCUCCUCGUCCACCGGCCGCGGCAGCGACGAGGAUGACGCGUCCGGCCUGGGCGAGGCAACGGCGGCUGGGCGAGGGAACGGCGGCGCGGGCCUAGCGAGGCAACGGCGGCGACGAGCCUGGCGAGGCAACGGCGGCGGCGGGCCUGGGCGAGGGAACGGCGGCGGCGGGCCUAGCGAGGCAACGACGGCGACAAGCCUGGCGAGGCAACAGCGACGGUGGACCUGGUGAAGAUAAGAUGAACCACCAUUUUUCUUUUUUCUUCCAAUGACAGGUGGACCCACAUAGGGAUGAUAACGUUACCAGACGUUGCCGUUACAUGCGAGAUGUUAAGCUGUGCCACAUCAGCCUAACUGGCGGGUCCCCUCUGUCAUAAACUCACUUAUCUGAGCCCGAUCCGCCGAUCAAUACUUUCUGCAAAAAGAUUACUGUAGACACGGUGUUUUUUGCAAAGAAAAUGUAUUGUAGUGGUUUUCGCAAAGCUUGCCUUCAAAGUGGUGGUUUUAUGCAAUUUACUCACAUGACCGAGUUUGGAGUUGAAAUUUUAAGGGGUUGUACACACUUAUCUUGUGAACAUCCACACACAAAAUCAGAAUUUUUUUAUAUUUAAAAAAUUGAGUUUUGUGAGAUUGGAUCAUGGUGUAGCACCUAAUCCAUGUGAGCACUAGAUAUUCUCUUGACAUACAUGCCAACGCGGUCUCUCUCUCCUCCCGUUUCCUGUCUUUGGAGGAAGUCAGACAUGCAUGCAGAAAGGAAAGUGAGAGAGCGCCCGCGAGAGAGAAAGAAACAUGUUCCUUCAGCGAAGUGACGGAGAGAGAAGAGCUAACGCAUGGCGACAACUGGUUCUGCUAAUAGUCUGACUCUGCCUCCAGCCAUUGCACACAUACCAAACUGAACAGACGGUGGUGAUACUGGGCACCGUGGAGCUCGGGCUAGGGAAGAACUUUGCGCAAAGAGAAAGCUACAAAUUGGAUGAUUGAUUCCUAUGAAAUUCAUGUUACACAUAUUUUAUUUCAAAAAGGGGAUUACCCGGCCCUCUGCAUCAAAUGACGCACACAUUCAUAUUAUUAAACAUAAAUCAAGUUACAAUCACGGAGUUCCAGACUUAUUUCAUCAAGUAGUUUUCUUCUAUUUGAACUCAAUUUCUUCUAUUUCUCUGAGCCGUGAGCUUAUAUCAGCGGUGAGCUCAUAUAUAUUCUGCAUUGUGAACUCAUUUUAGUUUUAUAUAUGAACUCAUUAGGUGAACUCAUCACGGUUUUUUGGCAGAUGUGAACUUAUUUCAUAUUCAUCUAUGAAUAAUGGUUGACGUGUCUGUAUAUCUCUCCCAUGCCAAUGUACAUAAAUUUGAGGUCUACAUACUUUUGCCACUUCUACCUACAAUUCCAUUCCUGUCUUUGAAUAAGCUACAGCAAGUGCAACAAAACAGAUUGCAACAAGUAGCUUAUGGGCUGAAAUUUGCGGUAUUAUUCAUUUGUCGUAUUGUCGCUCAGUUCAUCGUGGCUGUGAAACUAAACGUGACAUGAUAUUUUUUAUGUAAUUUCUAAAUUGCAAUCCAUAAUCAAGGACAAGACUACAAUAAAUGUGACUUACAUGCUCCUUGCAUUCAACACCUUCAGGACCUGCACGCAUCCAUCUCCUCCUCCGGCCGUUGCUGCCAUUAAGCCACUUGCUCAGGACCUGCACAAGCCAUCCACCUUCUCUUCAGCACCAGCCUCGCCACUAGAAUGCUUCUCCAGCAGGGGAGGGCAAGCACCCGCGGAGAGCUGCGUUGUCGUGUGCGGGCGUGGGGGAGAACCCGCGGCGAGCUGCGGUGGCUUGUGUAGGCAUCCGCGCGGCGAGGACGAGCUGUGCCGGCGCCUGCAGACAUGGACUAGCACCGGCAACGAGCCGCAGUGGCUCACGCAGGCAUCAGCAAGGCAUGGGCCAUCGGCGGGGGAGCUACGGUUGCGCAUGGGCAAGCUAUGGCGGAGAGAUGCGGUGGCUCGCGCAAGAGGUACGGCGACAAGCUAGCCCGAGAGCAAUCCUAUCCAACCAGUCCACACGCAUCAGAUAAG